ACCUGAGCGGAAGGCAAGCACUUAACCAUCUGAGCCAAACAGGUGUCUGGAUGAACAGUGUGACCGUAUCCCUGCAAUGGGACACUAUUCAGUAAUUACAUGUGUGAGCUACCAAGCCGCAAAAAAGACACGGAGGAAAGAGUCCUCACCGGAGGAGGAGCCUGCUGCCAGGUUGUGGGCAGUCCCAUGUUCACGGCCAAGGAGCUGAUGUCUUCGGCCAGCUGCCAUGAAGACCCAAGGGCUGCCAACAGUGACCUGGUGAGCUUAGAUGUGGAUCCUCCUAAGUGUGCGUUGUUUCAGUGCUAAAUUCUGAGUUAUUUUGCUGUGCAGCGGUAAAUACCCAAGUCCAAGACCAAGGAGGGAGGAGGUGUGAGUGGUCUGACCCUCACUGGUCUGGGACCCCGGGGCUCUUAUGAUCCAUGCAGCUGUCCCUUCCCUCAGAGGCCAGGGCUGGGACUGUGUCUGGGAUCUCUCCCAGCCCUCUUCCCGGAACCCCCUGCCUUUCAAGACUUGGCCCAUUGGGUUUCAGUGUCGGGGUGUCAGUCUGUCUGAGGAGGACUGACAGUGUAGUGUGGCAUUAGGAUGAGCACAAACUUGGACUUCUGGAACAUUCCUGGGAAAGUGCUGGUGGUCUUGGUACAAUGUUCUUGGAGAGACCCUGCCCCACAGGGUGGAAGGGGAGGUGGCAGGAGAACCAGAUUCCAAUCCUGCCCCUGCCACCUGUGACUGUCAGCGUCCCCUUGCCAUCCUGGUAAGAACUGAGUUCUCCCAGCAGCCCUCUGUUUGUUUCGUUUAGAGAGAGAGCCAGCAGGGGAGGGCAGAAGUCAGGGGAGAAAGAGAAUUCAAGCACACGGAGCACUGAGCACA